rnacentral:rRNA from 1 species
GACUAAGGUUUCCAGAGGAAGGCUCGUCCGCUCUGGGUUAGUCGGGUCCUAAGCUGAGGCCGACAGGCGUAGGCGAUGGAUAACAGGUUGAUAUUCCUGUACCACCUAUAAUCGUUUUAAUCGAUGGGGGGACGCAGUAGGAUAGGCGAAGCGUGCGAUUGGAUUGCACGUCUAAGCAGUAAGGCUGAGUAUUAGGCAAAUCCGGUACUCGUUAAGGCUGAGCUGUGAUGGGGAGAAGACAUUGUGUCUUCGAGUCGUUGAUUUCACACUGCCGAGAAAAGCCUCUAGAUAGAAAAUAGGUGCCCGUACCGCAAACCGACACAGGUAGUCAAGAUGAGAAUUCUAAGGUGAGCGAGCGAACUCUCGUUAAGGAACUCGGCAAAAUGACCCCGUAACUUCGGGAGAAGGGGUGCUCUUUAGGGUUAACGCCCAGAAGAGCCGCAGUGAAUAGGCCCAAGCGACUGUUUAUCAAAAACACAGGUCUCUGCUAAACCGUAAGGUGAUGUAUAGGGGCUGACGCCUGCCCGGUGCUGGAAG